CCCAAACCAUGCUGCAGUCAUGAGCCUAGAGGAAAAAGGCUCAAGAAUCUGCGUGGGUUUGUUCACUCAAACCACAUGCCCACAGACUACAUGCAGAGACAAAGGUGACUUUAAAAGUGAGACGAAAAAACCCACUCCACCUCCUUAUCUGUCAUCAGCGAUGCAGUGAUGUUUGUGAUGAUGGGAAAGGAAAGGAUGUGACAGUCUUUCCUAGUGGAAAACAUUCUGUCCACAGAGACUGUCCACAUUGUUCACAUGUCAGUGAGGCGGUACAGGCUGUUUGUACACUAAUGAGAAACAUCUCCCUCUUUUUCUGCUACCUCAACUUGACAGCGUUAUGAAUUCUUACAUAAAUUGCAUUAUAUUUUGUAUAUUUUAAGAUUAAGUCUGCAGACUGUGUCCCAAAUGCAGUUUUAACCCCAUGAAGCUUGACAUAUAAAAUAAUAGUCAGAAAAAAAA